UACGGAGGAUGCGAGCGUUAUCCGGAUUUAUUGGGCUUAAAGGGAGCGCAGACGGGAGAUUAAGUCAGUUGUGAAAGUUUGCGGCUCAACCGUAAAAUUGCAGUUGAUACUGGUUUCCUUGAGUGCAGUUGAGGCAGGCGGAAUUCGUGGUGUAGCGGUGAAAUGCUUAGAUAUCACGAAGAACCCCGAUUGCGAAGGCAGCUUGCUAAACUGUAACUGACGUUCAUGCUCGAAAGUGUGGGUAUCAAACAGG
rnacentral:rRNA from 1 species